UACGAAGGGGGCUAGCGUUGCUCGGAAUCACUGGGCGUAAAGGGUGCGUAGGCGGGUCUUUAAGUCAGGGGUGAAAUCCUGGAGCUCAACUCCAGAACUGCCUUUGAUACUGAGGAUCUUGAGUUCGGGAGAGGUGAGUGGAACUGCGAGUGUAGAGGUGAAGUUCGUAGAUAUUCGCAAGAACACCAGUGGCGAAGGCGGCUCACUGGCCCGAUACUGACGCUGAGGCACGAAAGCGUGGGGAGCAAACAGGG
rnacentral:rRNA from 1 species